GACGCAGGUGGCAAGCGUUGUUCGGAAUCACUGGGCAUAAAGCGCACGUAGGCGGCUGCGUAAGUUGGGUGUGAAAUCCCUCGGCCUAACCGAGGAACUGCGCCCAGUACUGCGUUGCUUGAGGAUCAAAGGGGUGCAUGGAAUUCCCGGUGGAGCGGUGAAAUGCGUUGAUAUCGGGAGGAACUCCGGCGGCGAAAGCGGUGCACUGGUUGAUUUCUGACGCUGAGGUGCGAAAGCCAGGGGAGCAAACGGG
rnacentral:rRNA from 1 species